ensembl:lncRNA
UGUGGGGGGUGGUGAAUGACAGAGACACGAGUCAUCUUAACACGUGUGCGGGCAGCCAGGGGGUUCUCACCUCUAGUAGGCAGAGGAGCCCGCGCCUUCGGCUCACCUAGCUUUUAUUCACCCACACAUGGGCACAAGCAGCCACGGUAACACAGGAUUCAUCUGCUUCCUAGUACCCAUCAGUACAUGCUCUGGUAAAGAACUUAACCUCAGCUGUCUGAACUUUUCCCUAAAAUGCAGUCACCCCCGAGUGCAGCCUUUCUCCUUUGUGCUCACAGAGGAGGCCAAUCAGGCCUUAAUUUUCCUCUGCCCCAUUAUGAUCUUUUUGAUGUCUUGUUGAAUUCAAUUUGCUAGUGUUUUGUUGAGAUUUUUGCAUUUCUGUUCAUCAGGGAUAUCAGUCUAUGGUUUUCUUUUUCUUUCUCUUCCUUCCUCCCUCUCUCCCCCCUUUCUCUCAUUUUUCUUCCUUUGUACACUCCUGUGUGUUUGUCUGGUUUUGCCAGUAGGGCAAUGAAGGCCUCAAAGAAUGAAUUUGGAAGGACCCUUGGCCUUUCAGCUCUGCAGAAUUCUUUGAGAAGAAAUGACAUUGAUUCUUCUUUAAAAGUGUGGUGAAAUUCAACAGUGAAGCUAUCCAGUCCCAGGCCUUUUUUUUUUUUGUCAAGACGCUUCUUAUUCUGAUUCAAUCUCAUUACUUGUUAUUGGUCUAUUCAGGUUUUUUUUUAAUGUCCUCAUGGUUCAGUUUUGAUAGUUCAUAUGAAUCCAGCAAUGUUCCCAUUUCUUUUAGGUUUUCUAAUUUUUUUAGCAGUUUUUAUCACAAUCAUAAUGAUCCUUUGUAUUUCUGUGGUGUCAGUUGUAAUGUUUCCCUUUUCACCUCUAGUUUUAUUUGUAUUUUCAUUCUCUAUUUUCUCUCUCAUUCUAACAAAAAGUUUGUCAAUUUUAUCUUUUCAGAGCUAACUCUGUUUCACUGAUGUUUUGUCACACGAGUGCGCUAGCAGUCGAGGGAGGUGUGGUGCAGACAGCAGUGGGUGUGGAGAGCCCACUGGGGGGCUCCUCCUACCCGGGGAGUGGUGGACCUUAUCUGGUGUGGGGGUUUGCUCAGGCACUGUUGAUGGUCGCUCUGCUCUUAGCGAGCGGCCGAGCACUGUGGCACUGCAGCCCCAGCAUGGUGAGGAGUCUGAGGCACCAGUCAGUGGUGCCGGCCCAGAUGCUGUGCCCGGAGAGGCAGUGGGGGAGCUGCAGCAGCCCCCAUGUGGUGCUCACACCAAGUGUGGACCGAAGUACAGUUGGAGCAGGUGUGAGGGCAGGAAUGCAGGAACCACCCAAAUUAGGUGACAGCAGCAGCCACAUUCUCCCUCUCUGGCACUGUGGUGACAGUCCCCCCAGGAGCAGGACCAUGGCGGGAGCCAGGCAAAGCUCCUCUUAGGGGUUCAUUUGGGCAAGGGCCUGAUGAUGCCUGCCCUUUCAGCUCUAGAGUGUGGCUGAGAGUUGGGGUGGGAUACCAGCUGGGCGCACUUGCCCCUAAUUGUGCGUGCCUGGAGAGAGGGCAAUGCUGCAGCUACUGAGUUGUUCAAGGCUCUUUCAGCCCACCCUUGUGGAUGAGGUGGCAGCAAGAACCCCUUGUCCCAUGUUGUCCGAGCUUGGCCUGGGAGGGUGCAGGAACUACACAGUCUCUGCCUUUAGUCCUGGCACUGGUGUGAGCCUUCAGGCCGCUGGCUAUGCCCUUGGUCUCAGAGCCCCAGUACCCCAAUAUCCUGGUUCUUGAGCGUGGCACCCUCCCUUUCCCGCUGUGUCUCAAACUGGUCUCUUACAGUGCAGGGUGCCCAGCAGGCUUAGGUCAGUCCCUCUGCUGGAUCACAGUGGGUUUGUGAGGCAGCUAUCCCUCCCGCCAGUGCAUUCCAUGGAUGUGGGGUCCCUGACUCCUGGAGCAGCCAAACUCAGUAGCUCAGUUCUCAAGAUGGCUCCUGCGGGUCCCUGAGAGAUGGUGUGAGAUCCUCUUCCAAGCAAGGCUACUGAGCAGAUCCCAGGUCACUUACCUAGGUCUCUGAAUUGACAAGCUCUCCUGCUAACAGCCAGCAUUCCCUCUCACCUGCUCACCUCACAGGCUGCUCUGCACCUGUUACUUCGCUGAUUCCUUGUGGAAACGCAGAACAAGCAUCAGCUGUCUGGUGUUAUGGACCUCCUCGGGAUCCACAAAGGCCGAGGAACGCGUCUGAAUGUGGAGAUCUCUUGGAAGCAAACGGCCUGAGUGGCCUCCAGAGACUUGUUUCCUUAGCAACAGCGCCCGAGUAUGAGGCCCCGAACAAUUUGUUGUUAUCCAUUCCCUCCUCAAAAAUAUAGUUGCCUAGCAGAUUGCAGCAGACCUCGGCCCAGGCUUGGACUGAACCCUGCCCCUCAACUCAGUCUCUCAGGAUAUGAAACAGCAGGGUCGUAUCAGGUUUAGUGCUACAGGUUUAGAAAUAAUUUUGUUUCUUUUUGUUUUGUUUUUUUGGUACCGGGAUUGAACUCGGUCCUUGCGCCUGCACAGCAGGCAGCGAAACCACUGAGCUAAAUCCCCGGCCCUAAUUUUUGUUUCUAAAGCAACAUAAUUUGACCUCAAGCUUUGUGGGGCUACAGAAAACACCACUGAAUUCAUGUUGUUUACCUAAAACAAGAUAAAAAGCUGAACAAACAAAAACUCUAGAGGUUGUGCAUUCCACAGAUUUUCUUAACCAGUGACAAUUAAGGAAAACAUCUGUCCAGUCCCCUCUUGGAGCUUCAUAGGAAGAAUUCUGAGCAUGUGGAAGAGGUCACGUUCACAAGUGCAGCCUCCACCUAUAGCACAGGACGGAACUCUGUCCCGACUUCCUGCUGAGGAUACGGAGAAGGCAUUUACUCUUCCUGAUGUGGUUGCUUCCAGCAGACUGUAGGAAAGGAAGUUUCUUUGCCACUGCCUGGUGGCACGUCAUUGGUCCGCUGAAUGUAGAGAUGGACAGAAGGCCAAUCAGAAGAAGCCACACAACCUGGACAAGCAGGCUUCUGAGAACGCCUGUGUUAUGGUUUGGGUCUAGAUGUCCCCUCAAAGCCUCAUGUGGCCAUAGGCUUGAUCUAGAGUGUGUGAAGCUGAAAUUGAUUCAUGAUGCAAUCCUAGGCUGAAGGGCACUAGGAUCAAGAGUGUGAGUGCUACCCGCCCUCAGUAGUCUGAAUAAAAGGGGCAGGAAAAUGCUGUUAACUCUCUUGUUAUCAUUUCUGCCUUGUGUGUGCCAUGUUGCUUCUGCUCUGCCAUGCCUUGUUUGUCGUCCCUGCCUUGGAAUCGGCUGAUUGUAGACUGAAACCUCUAUGAACUGUAAGCUAAAUAAACCCUUUCCCC